rnacentral:rRNA from 1 species
UACGUAGGGUGCAAGCGUUGUCCGGAAUUAUUGGGCGUAAAGAGCUCGUAGGCGGUUUGUCGCGUCGAAUGUGAAAACCCGGGGCUCAACCCCGGGCCUGCAUUCGAUACGGGCAGACUAGAGUUCGGUAGGGGAGUCUGGAAUUCCUGGUGUAGCGGUGAAAUGCGCAGAUAUCAGGAGGAACACCGGUGGCGAAGGCGGGUCUCUGGGCAAUAACUGACGCUGAGGAGCGAAAGCGUGGGGAGCGAACAGG